AGCGAGGUGGAGAAGUUGGUAUCUCGGAAGGUUCAUAACCUUCAGGUCGCGGGUUCGAGUCCCGUCUUCGCAA
rnacentral:tRNA from 1 species